rnacentral:rRNA from 1 species
UACCUGGUUGAUCCUGCCAGUAAUCAUAUGCUUGUCUCAAAGAUUAAGCCAUGCAUGUCUAAGUACAUGCCGAAAUAAGGCGAAACCGCGAAUGGCUCAUUAAAUCAGUUAUGGUUCCUUAGAUCGUUUCUUCCUACUUGGAUAACUGUGGCAAUUCUAGAGCUAAUACAUGCAGUGAGCCUGAAGCCCUUUGGGCGACGGGUGCUUUUAUUAGACCAAGAUCGAUCGGGUUUCGGCCCGUAUUGUGUGGUGACUCUGGAUAACUUUGUGCUGAUCGCAUGGCCACGAGCCGGCGACGUUUCUUUCAAGUGUCUGCCUUAUCAACUUUCGAUGGUAGGUUACUUGCUUACCAUGGUUGUUACGGGUAACGGAGAAUCAGGGUUCGAUUCCGGAGAGGGAGCCUGAGAAACGGCUACCACAUCCAAGGAAGGCAGCAGGCGCGCAAAUUACCCACUCCCGGCACGGGGAGGUAGUGACGAAAAAUAACAAUACGGGACUCUUUUGAGGCCCCGUAAUUGAAAUGAGUACACUCUAAAUCCUUUAACGAGGAUCAAUUGGAGGGCAAGUCUGGUGCCAGCAGCCGCGGUAAUUCCAGCUCCAAUAGCGUAUACUAAAGCUGCUGCGGUUAAAAAGCUCGUAGUUGGAUCUCAGUUCCAGACGAGUAGUGCAUCUACCCGAUGCGACGGCUCGGACUGAACAUCAUGCCGGUCCUUUCUUGGUGCACUUCAUUGUGUGCCUCGAGAAGGCCGGUGCUUUUACUUUGAAAAAAUUAGAGUGCUCAACGCAGGCGAGUCGCCUGAAUAAACUUGCAUGGAAUAAUAGAACAAGACCUCGUUUCUGUUCUGUUGGUUUUUGGAAUACGAGGUAAUGAUUAAGAGGGACAGACGGGGGCAUUCGUAUUGCGGCGCUAGAGGUGAAAUUCUUGGACCGUCGCAAGACGAACUACUGCGAAAGCAUUUGCCAAGAAUGUUUUCUUUGAUCAAGAACGAAAGUCAGAGGUUCGAAGGCGAUCAGAUACCGCCCUAGUUCUGACCAUAAACGAUGCCAACCAGCGAUCCGCCUGAGUUACUCAAAUGACUCGGCGGGCAGCUUCCGGGAAACCAAAGUAUUUGGGUUCCGGGGGAAGUAUGGUUGCAAAGCUGAAACUUAAAGGAAUUGACGGAAGGGCACCACCAGGAGUGGAGCCUGCGGCUUAAUUUGACUCAACACGGGAAAACUUACCCGGCCCGGACACUGGGAGGAUUGACAGAUUGAGAGCUCUUUCUUGAUUCGGUGGAUGGUGGUGCAUGGCCGUUCUUAGUUGGUGGAGCGAUUUGUCUGGUUAAUUCCGAUAACGAACGAGACUCUAGCCUAUUAAAUAGGUGCGGGGUUCCCAGCACCUUACAACCUUCUUAGAGGGACAAGCGGCUCCUAGCCGCACGAAACAGAGCAAUAACAGGUCUGUGAUGCCCUUAGAUGUCCGGGGCCGCACGCGCGCUACACUGAAGGAAGCAGCGUGUCUUUAUCCCUGUCUGAAAAGACUGGGUAACCCGUGGAACUUCUUUCGUGAUUGGGAUAGGGGCUUGCAAUUGUUCCCCUUGAACGAGGAAUUCCCAGUAAGCGCGAGUCAUAAGCUCGCGUUGAUUACGUCCCUGCCCUUUGUACACACCGCCCGUCGCUACUACCGAUUGAAUGAUUUAGUGAGGUCUUCGACCGAUGUCCGGCGCGGCCUUUCGGUUGCGCCGGUCUGUUGGAAAGAUGACCAAACUUGAUCAUUUAGAGGAAGUAAAAGUCGUAACAAGGUUUCCGUAGGUGAACCUGCGGAAGGAUCAUUA